rnacentral:rRNA from 1 species
GGGUUGUGAGGUUAAGCGACUAAGCGUACACGGUGGAUGCCCUGGCAGUCAGAGGCGAUGAAGGGCGUGCUAAUCUGCGAUAAGCGCCGGUAAGGUGAUAUGAACCGUUAUAACCGGCGAUACCCGAAUGGGGAAACCCAGUGUGAUUCGUCACACUAUCAUUAACUGAAUCCAUAGGUUAAUGAGGCGAACCGGGGGAACUGAAACAUCUAAGUACCCCGAGGAAAAGAAAUCAACCGAGAUUCCCCCAGUAGCGGCGAGCGAACGGGGAGGAGCCCAGAGCCUGAAUCAGCAUGUGUGUUAGUGGAAGCGUCUGGAAAGGCGCGCGAUACAGGGUGACAGCCCCGUACACAAAAGCGCAUGUGUUGUGAGCUCGAUGAGUAGGGCGGGACACGUGGUAUCCUGUCUGAAUAUGGGGGGACCAUCCUCCAAGGCUAAAUACUCCUGACUGACCGAUAGUGAACCAGUACCGUGAGGGAAAGGCGAAAAGAACCCCGGCGAGGGGAGUGAAAAAGAACCUGAAACCGUGUACGUACAAGCAGUGGGAGCACCCUUUGGGGUGUGACUGCGUACCUUUUGUAUAAUGGGUCAGCGACUUAUAUUCUGUAGCAAGGUUAACCGAAUAGGGGAGCCGGAGGGAAACCGAGUCUUAAUUGGGCGUUAAGUUGCAGGGUAUAGACCCGAAACCCGGUGAUCUAGCCAUGGGCAGGUUGAAGGUUGGGUAACACUAACUGGAGGACCGAACCGACUAAUGUUGAAAAAUUAGCGGAUGACCUGUGGCUGGGGGUGAAAGGCCAAUCAAACCGGGAGAUAGCUGGUUCUCCCCGAAAGCUAUUUAGGUAGCGCCUCGUGAAUUCAUCUCCGGGGGUAGAGCACUGUUUCGGCUAGGGGGCCAUCCCGGCUUACCAACCCGAUGCAAACUGCGAAUACCGGAGAAUGUUAUCACGGGAGACACACGGCGGGUGCUAACGUCCGUCGUGAAGAGGGAAACAACCCAGACCGCCAGCUAAGGUCCCAAAGUCAUGGUUAAGUGGGAAACGAUGUGGGAAGGCCCAGACAGCCAGGAUGUUGGCUUAGAAGCAGCCAUCAUUUAAAGAAAGCGUAAUAGCUCACUGGUCGAGUCGGCCUGCGCG